rnacentral:rRNA from 1 species
GACAGGAGGUGCAAACGUUGUUCGGAAUUACUGGGCGUAAAGCGCGUGUAGGCGGCCCUGCAAGUCGGAUGUGAAAUCCCACGGCUCAACCGUGGAAGUGCAUUCGAAACUGCAGGGCUAGAGUCCUGGAGAGGAAGGUGGAAUGCUUGGUGUAGAGGUGAAAUUCGUAGAUAUCAAGCGGAACACCGGUGGCGAAGGCGGCCUUCUGGACAGUGACUGACGCUGAGACGCGAAAGCGUGGGGAGCAAACAGGG